AUUCUGUGUGGCUUUCUCUUCCUGGCAGGGCUCUGAAGAAAGCUCUGUAUUUUGUGGAAUGGGGGCUUCUAAUCCUCUCUACGCGUAACGGUCAGUCUCUUCAAAAGGGGAGGGGCGGUGUGCUAGAGAAUUCCUCAGGAAGAAAUGAUCUAGAAAUGGCUCUGAAGUGAGCCUCUGACAUCAUCAUGCCUCUAAGAAAAACCAAGAGUGAGAAGGUCUUUUAAGGCCCGGGAGGCAGUGGAGGUAAACUGUGAGCUAUCAGGGGUCUGGACACAUCACCCUCUUGCUUGCAUCUUCCAUAGCACCCGGAGCACUAAAAGGACUUGAAGACAGAUUUUCUACUAAGUGCCUCUUCCUGUCCAGCUCCAGAAUCUACUGCCCACUGUGCUGCUUACUAGUCCAUUGAAAACCCCUGAGGAUCGGUGGUACCCAUUCAUCCAAUCCACAGAGGAUUCAGAGCUAUCCAGAGAUUGGUGCCUCCAUACAUGCUGGGAAUGUUGAGAAUGGCAAUGCCUUCAAGGAAGAUGCUGCUCAGAUUCUCUUCCUGCUUCUACCUACUGCUCCUAUUCCCUCUGCUGAAGCCAGACAGAUUGACCCUCCAUCCUCCUCCAUGGGGACAGACCACCAGAUACAAGAUACAAUCAUCAUCAUCACUGUUCAUAUAUAGUAAGCACUGCCAUUUGCCAGAUGAGGAAACAUGGACUCAGUGAAACUAAGGAAGGUCCUUCUUUUCUGAAUUUAUCCAGGUUCGUGGUAGGCUUCACAGGCCUGAAGAUUUCCUGCAUGAAAUGCAAUCAGCUUAAGAGACAGUCCAACUUAGACAGCAUCUACCUGAUGCUGUUAACCUUGUGCUUUGAUACCUAUAAGACCACUUCUUGAGUAUUCUAGA